rnacentral:misc_RNA from 1 species
AUCCAUUUAAAUCUGUAGCAGCACCACCAAUAGAUCCUAUCUUCCGCCCAUCAUUGAAACCAUCAUUGAAACCAGACUCUUUUGACUUGGAAUUAAUAACAGAAUUCACAUCACCUCCAACUCUUACAUCAAAAUUCCUCCUCUCAUCUGGCCUCUUUGACACAUAACAAUUGCUCCAUAUUGAUUCCUUCAGUGACAGAUUUGCUAAGCUUGAAGUAUGUCGCCUCAGCUGAUCACUGAAUUGCCAAAACGAUUGCUGGUUAUUCUCCAUCUUCAACUCCAAUUCCCUUCGACAACCGAUCAAAAAACAAUAAAACACGAAAUGGGUACCCGAGAUACAGCAGAGAUAAGAUAGAUUUUAUCUAAGAUCAAGAAAACAGGGAGCAAAAACAGAGGAAAAGUAAAGGGUCUGUAAAUGAUGAGAGAAAUGAAAGUGGGUGAGAAAGAAUAGUUAAAUAAGAGAAC